GAUUGCAGGCUGNAACCGCCUGCAUGAAGUCGGAAUUGCUAGUAAUCGCGGAUCAGCAUGCCGCGGUGAAUACGUUCCCGGGCCUUGUACACACCGCCCGUCACACCAUGGGAGCCGGUAAUACCCGAAGUCAGUAGUCCAACCACGUGAGGACGCUGCCGAAGGUAGGAUUGGCGACUGGGGUGAAGUCGUAACAAGGUACC
rnacentral:rRNA from 1 species